GCCUGGCUGGCUCAGUCAGCAGAGCAUGUGACUCCCGAUCUCGGGAUUAUAGGUUCGAUCCCUGUGUUGGGUA
rnacentral:tRNA from 1 species